AAAUCAAAAUCGAUUUGUUACUUUGUUGGUAACGUUUCGGAAUUGGGUCAUCUUAAACCUUCAGGGUUCAAGAGGCUUAAAAUUGAUCAUUUUUUGGUAUGAAUUUAAGCGUAUUUAAGAUCUCUUAUCACGCGCUUGAUGAGUAUCGGAUGUUUAUUAGGCGUGACCAUGAUCAUGGUUUCGCGCCCAUAAUCUUAUG
rnacentral:misc_RNA from 1 species